AAGUCGUAACAAGGUUUCCGUAGGUGAACCUGCGGAAGGAUCAUUACUGAGUACUGGACUAUAAAUGGGUCCAUACUCCAACCCUUUGUGUACCUUCUUUGUUGCUUUGGCGGUAGUGGAUGGACUUUCUAUCUACAUGCCGCCAGAGGAUCUACAAAACUCUUGCUAUUAUUAGUGUUGUCUGAGUUGAAUACAAAUAUCAAAACUUUCAACAAUGGAUCUCUUGGUUCUG
rnacentral:misc_RNA from 1 species